AGAGUUUGAUCCUGGCUCAGAACGAACGCUGGCGGCGUGGAUAAGACAUGCAAGUCGAACGGGAGAAUUGCUAGCUUGCUAAUAAUUCUCUAGUGGCGCACGGGUGAGUAACACGUGAGUAACCUGCCUCUUAGUGGGGGAUAGCCCUGGGAAACCGGGAUUAAUACCGCAUACGAUUGAAAGAUCAAAGCAGCAAUGCGCUAGGAGAUGGGCUCGCGGCCUAUUAGUUAGUUGGUGAGGUAACGGCUCACCAAGGCGAUGACGGGUAGCCGGUCUGAGAGGAUGUCCGGUCACACUGGAACUGAGACACGGUCCAGACACCUACGGGUGGCAGCAGUCGAGAAUCAUUCACAAUGGGGGCAACCCUGAUGGUGCGACGCCGCGUGGGGGAAUGAAGGUCUUCGGAUUGUAAACCCCUGUCAUGUGGGAGCAAAUUAAAAAGAUAGUACCACAAGAGGAAGAGACGGCUAACUCUGUGCCAGCAGCCGCGGUAAUACAGAGGUCUCAAGCGUUGUUCGGAAUCACUGGGCGUAGAGCGUGCGUAGGCUGUUUCGUAAGUCGUGUGUGAAAGGCAGGGGCUCAACCCCUGGAUUGCACAUGAUACUGCGAGACUAGAGUAAUGGAGGGGGAACCGGAAUUCUCGGUGUAGCAGUGAAAUGCGUAGAUAUCGAGAGGAACACUCGUGGCGAAGGCGGGUUCCUGGACAUUAACUGACGCUGAGGCACGAAGGCCAGGGGAGCGAAAGGGAUUAGACACCCCUGUAGUCCUGGCAGUAAACGGUGCACGCUUGGUGUGCGGGGAAUCGACCCCCUGCGUGCCGGAGCUAACGCGUUAAGCGUGCCGCCUGGGGAGUACGGUCGCAAGAUUAAAACUCAAAGAAAUUGACGGGGACCCGCACAAGCGGUGGAGUAUGUGGCUUAAUUCGAUGCAACGCGAAGAACCUUACCUGGGCUUGACAUGUAAUGAACAACAUGUGAAAGCAUGCGACUCUUCGGAGGCGUUACACAGGUGCUGCAUGGCCGUCGUCAGCUCGUGUCGUGAGAUGUUUGGUUAAGUCCAGCAACGAGCGCAACCCCUGUUGCCAGUUACCAGCACGUCAAGGUGGGGACUCUGGCGAGACUGCCCAGAUCAACUGGGAGGAAGGUGGGGACGACGUCAGGUCAGUAUGGCCCUUAUGCCCAGGGCUGCACACGUACUACAAUGCCCAGUACAGAGGGGGCCGAAGCCGCGAGGCGGAGGAAAUCCUGAAAACUGGGCCCAGUUCGGACUGUAGGCUGCAACCCGCCUACACGAAGCCGGAAUCGCUAGUAAUGGCGCAUCAGCUACGGCGCCGUGAAUACGUUCCCGGGUCUUGCACACACCGCCCGUCA
rnacentral:rRNA from 1 species